rnacentral:rRNA from 1 species
UUUGGUGAUACGAGGUGUAGCGUAUAGACUGCGGUUUUGGGCCAGUCCAUCCGUUAAAGUUUCCCUUGACUGGGGCUCCAGAGAAGGUGCAAGACCUGUCCAGCGGAUGGUGCUGGUGCAUUUCCGUCUGUCUUUGAGUCGGGUUGUUUGGGAUCGCAGCCCAAAGCAGGUGGUAAACUUCAUCUAAGACUGAAUAUGACCACGAAUCCGAUAGCGAACAAGUACUGUGAAGGAAAGUUGCAAAGCACUUUGAAGAGAGAGUUAAAGAGGACGUGAAACCGAUGAGGUGGAAACGGAUAGAGCUGGCGUAUCUGGCCUGUAUUCAGCCGUGAGCUGUCUGGUGUCUAGUUUGUUGCCUUCCAGAUUGGUGCAUGAACUUGGCAUUUUGUUGGUUUGCGGUGCAUUUGCAGGUGGAGUGCGCUGAGGCGGUCGGAGCAGUGGCAUGAGCUUGGUUUUGAGGCCAUAUGCUUUGGUGUGUGGUACCCGAGCCGGGGGAGUGCUAUUUGUUCUGGCCGGAUGUGUGGAUGCUGGUCUCGGGCUCGAGUGGGCACCGAGCUGGCGGUUGGUGGCGGCCGCAUGCGACACGUGCCAGCAGUCAGUUCGGUCCUAUU